GGGGUCGAAAUAGGAUCGACGAACGUCUAAAGGGGUUAGCUUUGUUUCGGCUGUCUGCCACCGUUAUCGGCGAAACUUGUACAAUUGCAAAUGACAAUCGUGCUCCGGCAAUGGCAGUAGCAGCGUAAGCUGUUAAUGUCGCCGAAACUAAGUCCUUGCGCCUAGCCGCGUAAGGCGGGGUUCGCAGGUACCUGGCAACAGAAACCUGCACU
rnacentral:tmRNA from 1 species